UCGGACGUGGUGCACGGUGCACAUCCGCUCCUCUUUGAAAUAUACUUUGUCUUUGUUGAGGCGGGAGCCCUGGGUUCGAUUCCCAGCGUCCGAA